rnacentral:rRNA from 1 species
GACGAACGCUGGCGGCGUGCUUAACACAUGCAAGUCGAACGGAAAGGCCCUGCUUUUGGGGGGUGCUCGAGUGGCGAACGGGUGAGUAACACGGGAGUAACCUGCCCUUGACUUUGGGAUAACUUCAGGAAACUGGGGCUAAUACCGGAUAGGAGCUCCUGCUGCAUGGGGGGGGUUGGAAAGUUUCGGCGGUUGGGGAUGGACUCGCGGCUUAUCAGCUUGUUGGUGGGGUAGUGGCUUACCAAGGCUUUGACGGGUAGCCGGCCUGAGAGGGUGACCGGCCACAUUGGGACUGAGAUACGGCCCAGACUCCUACGGGAGGCAGCAGUGGGGAAUAUUGCACAAUGGGCGGAAGCCUGAUGCAGCAACGCCGCGUGCGGGAUGACGGCCUUCGGGUUGUAAACCGCUUUCGCCUGUGACGAAGCGUGAGUGACGGUAAUGGGUAAAGAAGCACCGGCUAACUACGUG